rnacentral:rRNA from 1 species
CCCUUAGAUGUUCUGGGCUGCACGCGCGCUACACUGAUGCACUCAACGAGUUUACGACCUUGCCCGAUAGGGUUGGGUAAUCUUUUUAAAAUGCAUCGUGAUGGGGAUAGAUUAUUGCAAUUAUUAAUCUUCAACGAGGAAUUCCUAGUAAGCGCGAGUCAUCAGCUCGUGCUGAUUACGUCCCUGCCCUUUGUACACACCGCCCGUCGCUCCUACCGAUUGAGUGCUCAGGUGAAUAAUUCGGACUGCAGCAAUGUUUGGAUCCCGAACGUUGCAGCGGAAAGUUUAGUGAACCUUACCACUUAGAGGAAGGAGAAGUCGUAACA